UACGUAGGGGGCAAGCGUUGUCCGGAAUCAUUGGGCGUAAAGAGCGCGUAGGCGGCCCUGUAAGUCCGCUGUGAAAGUCAAGGGCUCAACCCUUGAAUGCCGGUGGAUACUGCAGGGCUAGAGUCCGGAAGAGGCGAGUGGAAUUCCUGGUGUAGCGGUGAAAUGCGCAGAUAUCGAGAGGAACACCAGUGGCGAAGGCGAGUCCCUGGACAACUCCUGACACUGAGGCACGAAAGCUAGGGGAGCAAACGGG
rnacentral:rRNA from 1 species